rnacentral:tRNA from 1 species
CGGUGUAGCUCAAUUGGCAGAGCAGCUGAUUUGUAAUCAGCAGGUUGCGGGUUCAAGUCCCUUCACCG